GGCUCCGCCCCUCUCCCCACUAGCCCUCCCGCGAGGCGCCCCUCCCCCCAGGGCCUGGCUCCGAAACGCGUCGGCUAUUUCCGGACCGUAAAGGAAAGCGUAGGGAGCAGCGGCUUCGGCUGCUUCCGAAAACACCCGAAGCGAGGAUUUCGCCGGCUUCCCAGGUUUUCGUAACUUUUCGGAUACUAGCUCUUCAAGGUUCGGGUGUUUCCGUAGGUCCUUGCGUUCCUCUGCGCCCAGCACCGCCCCCCUACCAAGAAUUCGACUUCUUCAGAAAAUUCAAAUCGUCCCAGUCUUUGGUGUCUUCCGCAGACUCUCCCCGCUCUUCUCCACCAGCCCUGUCCAAGCAAUCGGCUACUUCCGACAAUCCUAACCGUCCCGGACUUCGGCACUUUCCGAAGGUUUCCGGCGCUCACCUUCGGACCCAGCCAGAGAUUAAGCUCGUUUCCAAACUUCGGCUCUUUCCGGAGAUUCCAAUAGCACACUCCUCCCCUCUCGGAGAGCUUCGGUUCCCUCCGCCGCUGCUUCGGAAAGGCCUCACUCACUGGAAACAGCUUCGGCUUUUUCCGUCAGCGCUUCGGCUCCUUCCGGCUUCGGGAACCGAAAAGGGAGGGAGAACGGAGGCGAGGUGGGUUAGGGGAAGGGAAACAGAAGAGGGGCAGGUUCCCGGCUUUCGGCACCGGGCUCUCCGGGUGGGGAAAGGGGAGAAGAAGAAGGGCUGAUCUUGCGGAGGGCCUAAGAAGGUUGCGAGAGACAAAAGCAGCCAGCGGGAUGAAAGGUGCGCGCGGCCGCUGCGGAGGUGGCCAGUGCGGCUCUGUGCGCCUGCGCAGGGUGAAAGGUGAGGGAAGCGAGAUGGGUUUCUGCGCCUGCGUAGAGGCCGAUGUGAGACGAGGUUUCUUACUGCUCCGGGAGAUGGACGGGUUCUAGAGCCCACAGCGCGCGUGCGCGAGACUCUCUCCUCGUCCCGGGAAGGCGCAGAAGACGACGUAGCAGGCGCUUCCAGGAGGCAAAUAAACUCGCAUUACCGCCUCCUGGCGGGCAAGAGGAUGCCUUUGCCCAGGGAUGCCUCGCUCCCCACGAUGGCCGCCUUCGCCAGAGGUCAUUGAGUCUCGCCUCCUGCCGCCAUGCCUCUAGUCCAAGUAGCCCAGCGAGUAGUGUUCACGCCUCUUUUCCGGAGCUCUGCCCCUCCAAGUUCCCCAGAGCACAGCUUCUCCCCCUUCCACCCUUACCUACGGGAGACUAAUUACACCCUGUCUUCCCCAACCUCCCCGUUUCCCGCAUGACCGUCCGCUUCCCGGAACCCACUAAGGCCUCCGUCAUCGUCUCCGUGGCAACGGCCACCCCUCUCAGGAACAGGCCAGGGUCUAGUUUAUUCCAAA